rnacentral:rRNA from 1 species
GAUGAACGCUGGCGGCGUGCCUAACACAUGCAAGUCGAGCGGACAGACGAGGAGCUUGCGCGUCUGUCGUUAGCGGCGGACGGGUGAGUAACACGUGUAUACCCUCCCUAACAGUCUGGUAUCACCACGGAAAACCGGAUCAAAUACCAGAUAAGCUCUUGAACCACUGGGGGCGUUAGAAAAAGACGGCUGUUGUGUAGUUUAUAGCUGGAUCCGAGCCGCAUUAGCUAGUUGGGAAGUUACCGGCUUAUCAAGGCUACGAUGCGUAGCCGACCUACUGGGGUGAUGGGCCACACUGGAGCUGAGACACGGUCCAGACUCCUAAGGGAGGCAGCAGUAGGGGAUCUUCCGCAGUGGGCGAAAGCCUUACAGAGCAACGGCGCGUGAGUGAUAAAGAUCUUCGGAUCGUAAAACUCUGUUAUUAGUGAAGAACAAAUGUGUAAUUAAAUAUGCACGUCUUGACGGUAACUAAUAAGAAAGCCACGGCUAACUACGUG